rnacentral:tRNA from 1 species
GGACGCGUAGCUCAGUGGUAGAGCGCUACUCUUAUAAAGUAGAUGUCCUUGGUUCGAAUCCAAGCGCGUCCACAA